rnacentral:lncRNA from 1 species
UAUCGAAUCUUAAUGCUAUUGUAUUGAUUGAUGACCCGAGACAUCGGAUGUUAAUAGAUGCAAUAGAUAUCUCGAUGUUAUCUGGACACGGAAACGUUCGACGAGCGAUACGUGAUAAUAUUGAUAGAUGACUAGAAUCUAUAUAACUGAUUAGGGAAAUAUAUAUGAAUGAGUUAAUGAAGUCUAAUCCCAGCAAUUUCAUCUCUCUGUUAAUUUACUCAUCUCUUGUCAUCAUUAUAUUUUCGCAACUUAUCGCAAACAAAUACCUUUCAAUCACUUUACUUAAAAUUAUAUUAAUUGUUGAACUGCAUCGAUAUCGCAUCAGUCCCUGUGGAGACGAUAAAAAUAUACUUACUUUUGGACUUCAUCAAAAUGGCGCCGUUGUCGGGGACUGGCGUUUAGAUAUUGGAGCAUUGCAACAAUUUAUAUUCUUUUAAGUAUUUGUGUAUAUUUGUUUAUAUUGUAUAGUUUUUCUUGUACUAAUCCUUCAUUGCUAUACAAAGAAAAUUGUUUUUCUUGUUUGUUAAAUCCUUUUUCAGAUUCCCCAUUAAAAGUU